UACGAAGGGGGCUAGCGUUGUUCGGAUUUACUGGGCGUAAAGCGCACGUAGGCGGAUUGUUAAGUCAGGGGUGAAAUCCCGGAGCUCAACUCCGGAACUGCCUUUGAUACUGGCAAUCUUGAGGCUGGAAGAGGUUAGUGGAAUUCCCAGUGUAGAGGUGAAAUUCGUAGAUAUUGGGAAGAACACCAGUGGCGAAGGCG
rnacentral:rRNA from 1 species